ACCCUCGGGCAUCCCUUCCCGAUUCUCCGGAUCCUUGUCCGGCACCACGGGCACAUUAACCAUCACUGGGGUCCAAGCCGAGGACGAGGCUGUCUAUUUCUGUGGUGGCAGGGACAGCAGUGCUGCUGGUAUAGUGACAAGGACAGAUUUUCAAGUGAGGUUUCCUGGUCCAGGCAGCAGCAGUGGAUCAGCCAUUUUCAAUGUCAGCAAGCAUCAGAAGGUCCCUGGCACUGGCCCUGUCACUGUGAUCUACUUCAAUGACAGGAGACCCUCGGGCAUCCCUUCGCGAUUCUCUGGAUCCGGGUCCGGUUCCACGAACACGUUAACCAUCACUGAGGUCCAAGCCAAGGAUGAGGCUGUCUAA